GCGAUUCGCCCUUCGGGGUGCAGCAGGCGCGAAAACUUUGCAAUACACGAAAGUGUGACAGGGUCAUCCCGAGUGCCGACCGCUGAGGUUGGCUUUUACCCAGUCUAGAAAGCUGGGGGAAUAAGGAGAGGGCAAGUCUGGUGUCAGCCGCCGCGGUAAUACCAGCUCUCCGAGUGGUGUGGACGUUUAUUGGGCCUAAAGCAUCCGUAGCUGGCUGAACAAGUCCCCUGUUAAACCCACCGAUUUAAUCGUUGGUCUGCGGGGGAUACUGCUCGGCUAGGGGACGAGAGAGGCAGACGGUAUUCCCGGGGUAGGGGUGAAAUCCUAUAAUCCCGAGAAGACCACCAGUGGCGAAGGCUGUCUGCUAGAACGCGCCCGACGGUGAGGGAUGAAAGCUGGGGGAGCGAACCGGAUUAGAUACCCGGGUAGUCCCAGCUGUAAACGAUGCAGACUAGGUGUUUGGACGGCCACGUGCCGUUCUAGUGCCGCAGGGAAGCUGUUAAGUCUGCCGCCUGGGGAGUACGAUCGCAAGAUUGAAACUUAAAGGAAUUGGCGGGGGAGCAC
rnacentral:rRNA from 1 species